UGGGGAAUCUUGCGCAAUGGGCGAAAGCCUGACGCAGCAACGCCGCGUGAGGGAAGACGGCCUUAGGGUUGUAAACCUCUUUCAGUAGGGACGAAGCUUCCAGCGUUAAUAGCGUUGUGGAGUGACGGUACCUACAGAAGAAGCCCCGGCUAACUACGUGCCAGCAGCCGCGGUAAUACGUAGGGGGCAAGCGUUGUCCGGAAUCAUUGGGCGUAAAGAGCGUGUAGGUGGUUCAAAAAGUCUGGUGUGAAAUCCUGCGGCUCAACCGCAGACUGUCACUGGAUACUGUUGGACUUGAGUCCGGAAGAGGAGAGUGGAAUUCCUGGUGUAGCGGUGGAAUGCGCAGAUAUCAGGAGGAACACCAAUGGCGAAGGCAGCUCUCUGGUACGUGACUGACGCUGAGACGCGAAAGCGUGGGUAGCAAACAGGAUUAGAUACCCGCGUAGUCC
rnacentral:rRNA from 1 species